AUUGAACGCUGGCGGCAGGCCUAACACAUGCAAGUCGAGCGGAUGAAGAGAGCUUGCUCUCUGAUUCAGCGGCGGACGGGUGAGUAAUGCCUAGGAAUCUGCCUGGUAGUGGGGGACAACGUUUCGAAAGGAACGCUAAUACCGCAUACGUCCUACGGGAGAAAGUGGGGGAUCUUCGGACCUCACGCUAUCAGAUGAGCCUAGGUACGAUUAGCUAGUUGGUGAGGUAAAGGCUCACCAAGGCGACGAUCGUUAACUGGUCUGAGAGGAUGCUCAGUCACAAUGGAACUGAGACACGGUCCAGACUCCUACGGGAGGCAGCAGUGGGGAAUAUUGGACAAUGGGCGAAAGCCUGAUCCAGCCAUGCCGCGUGUGUGAAGAAGGUCUUCGGAUUGUAAAGCACUUUAAGUUGGGAGGAAGGGCAGUAAGUUAAUACCUUGCUGUUUUGACGUUACCGACAGAAUAAGCACCGGCUAACUUCGUGCCAGCCGCCGCAGUAA
rnacentral:rRNA from 1 species